rnacentral:rRNA from 1 species
GACGAACGCUGGCGGCGUGCUUAACACAUGCAAGUCGAACGGAAAGGCCCUGCUUUUGUGGGGUGCUCGAGUGGCGAACGGGUGAGUAACACGUGAGUAACCUGCCCUUGACCUUGGGAUAACUUCAGGAAACUGGGGCUAAUAACGGAUAGGAGCUCCUGCUGCAUGGUGGGGGUUGGAUAGUUUCGGCGGUUGGAGAUGGACUCGCGGCUUAUCAGCUUGUUGGUGGGGUAGUGGCUUACCAAGGUUGUGACGGGUAGCCGGCCUGAGAGGGUGACCGGCCACAUUGGGACUGAGAUACGGCCCAGACUCCUACGGGAGGCAACAGUGGGGAAUAUUACAGAGUGGACGGGCGCCUGAUGCAGCAACGCCGCGUGCGGGAUGACGGCCUUCGGGUUGUGAACCACUGUCGCCUGUGACGAAGCGUGAGUGACGGUAAUGGGUAAAGAAGCACCGGCUAACUACGUG